rnacentral:rRNA from 1 species
CCUACGGAAGGCAGCAGUGAGGAAUAUUGGUCAAUGGUCGGGAGACUGAACCAGCCAAGCCGCGUGAGGGAGGAAGGUACAGAGUAUCGUAAACCUCUUUUGUCAGGGAACAAAGACUGGGACGCGUCCCCGGAUGAGUGUACCUGAAGAAAAAGCAUCGGCUAACUCCGUGCCAGCAGCCGCGGUAAUACGGGGGCUGAGAGCUUUAUCCGGAUUUAUGGGGUUUAAAGGGUGCGCAGGCGGUCUGUUAAGUCAGCGGUCAAAGCGCGGGGCUCAACCCCGGCCCGCCGUUGAUACUGGCAGUAUCGAGUUGGAGAGAAGUAUGCGGAAUGCGCGGUGUAGCGGUGAAAUGCAUAGAUAUCGCGCAGAACUCCGAUUGCGAAGGCAGCAUGCCGGCUCCACACUGACGCUGAGGCACGAAAGCGUGGGUAUCGAACAGGAUUAGAUACCCUAGUAGUC